UGAGGAAUAUUGGUCAAUGGGCGAUGGCCUGAACCAGCCAAGUAGCGUGAAGGAUGACUGCCCUAUGGGUUGUAAACUUCUUUUAUAAAGGAAUAAAGUCGGGUAUGCAUACCCGUUUGCAUGUACUUUAUGAAUAAGGAUCGGCUAACUCCGUGCCAGCAGCCGCGGUAAUACGGAGGAUCCGAGCGUUAUCCGGAUUUAUUGGGUUUAAAGGGAGCGUAGAUGGAUGUUUAAGUCAGUUGUGAAAGUUUGCGGCUCAACCGUAAAAUUGCAGUUGAUACUGGAUGUCUUGAGUGCAGUUGAGGCAGGCGGAAUUCGUGGUGUAGCGGUGAAAUGCUUAGAUAUCACGAAGAACUCCGAUUGCGAAGGCAGCCUGCUAAGCUGCAACUGAUAUUGAGGCUCGAAAGUGUGGGUAUCAAACAGG
rnacentral:rRNA from 1 species